rnacentral:rRNA from 1 species
AGGACGAACGCUGGCGGCGUGCCUAAUACAUGCAAGUCGAACGGUCUUUCUGUGGAAGCUUGCUUCCACUGAGAAGAUAGUGGCGAACGGGUGAGUAACACGUGGGUAACCUGCCCAUAAGAGGGGGAUAACAUCCGGAAACGGGUGCUAAUACCGCAUAGUUUUCUUGAUCGCAUGAUCGGGAAAGGAAAGACGGCCUUUGUGCUGUCGCUUAUGGAUGGACCCGCGGCGUAUUAGUUAGUUGGUGAGGUAACGGCUCACCAAGACGAUGAUACGUAGCCGACCUGAGAGGGUGAUCGGCCACAUUGGGACUGAGACACGGCCCAAACUCCUACGGGAGGCAGCAGUAGGGAAUCUUCCGCAAUGGACGAAAGUCUGACGGAGCAACGCCGCGUGAGUGAAGAAAGGUUUUCGGAUCGUAAAACUCUGUUGUCAGAGAAGAACAAGUUGGAGAGUAACUGCUCCAGCCUUGACGGUAUCUGACCAGAAAGCCACGGCUAACUACGUGCCAGCAGCCGC